CGAGCGGAUGAGGUAGCUUGCUACCUGAUUCAGCGGCGGACGGGUGAGUAAUGCCUAGGAAUCUGCCUGGUAGUGGGGGACAACGUUUCGAAAGGAACGCUAAUACCGCAUACGUCCUACGGGAGAAAGUGGGGGAUCUUCGGACCUCACGCUAUCAGAUGAGCCUAGGUCGGAUUAGCUAGUUGGUGAGGUAAUGGCUCACCAAGGCGACGAUCCGUAACUGGUCUGAGAGGAUGAUCAGUCACACUGGAACUGAGACACGGUCCAGACUCCUACGGGAGGCAGCAGUGGGGAAUAUUGGACAAUGGGCGAAAGCCUGAUCCAGCCAUGCCGCGUGUGUGAAGAAGGUCUUCGGAUUGUAAAGCACUUUAAGUUGGGAGGAAGGGUUGUAACCUAAUACGUUGCAAUUUUGACGUUACCGACAGAAUAAGCACCGGCUAACUCUGUGCCAGCAGCCGCGGUAAUACAGAGGGUGCAAGCGUUAAUCGGAAUUACUGGGCGUAAAGCGCGCGUA
rnacentral:rRNA from 1 species